UCUUUCAUACCAUUGCUCAAUUGAAACGUAAAAUUAUCGGUUAGUGUGGAAGAAAAUUAUGAGUCAUGGAAAGAACGUCUUUUGGAAAAGGAAUGAUCGGAGAAUAGAGAGUUAGAGGACGCACUGUGAGGAAUACUCCAAUUAUUUACAGAGGAACCAGGACGUUGAAGUCCCGUUUGUUCCCUUUGCGUAUCGUUCCAAUCUAACA